UUCUGCACAUAAAUUACUCUAAGGACUGCAAGAACUUACCUCACAUCAAUUGAUUGCAAAUCAAACACUUUAAUUAAGCUAAGUCCUCACUAGAUUGGUGGGCUCCAACCCCACGAAAUUUUAGUUAACAGCUAAAUACCCUAAUCAACUGGCUUCAAUCCACUUCUCCCGCCGUCUAGAAAAAAAAGGCGGGAGAAGCCCCGGCAGCGCCAAGCUGCUUCUUUGAAUUUGCAAUUCAACAUGACAUUCACCGCAGGACUUGGUAAAAAGAGGACUUGAACCUCUGUCUUUAGAUUUACAGUCUAAUGCCUACUCGGCCAUUUUACCUAUGUUCAUAAACCGCUGAUUAUUUUCAACUAAUCAUAAAGAUAUUGGCACUCUUUACCUUCUAUUUGGUGCCUGGGCCGGUAUGGUAGGGACUGCUCUCAGUCUCCUAAUCCGGGCUGAACUAGGCCAACCUGGCACACUAUUAGGGGAUGACCAAAUUUAUAAUGUAAUCGUUACUGCUCAUGCUUUUGUAAUAAUUUUCUUUAUAGUGAUACCCAUUAUAAUUGGAGGAUUCGGAAACUGAUUAGUCCCGUUAAUAAUUGGAGCACCCGAUAUGGCGUUCCCCCGAAUGAAUAAUAUGAGCUUCUGACUCCUUCCUCCAUCCUUUUUACUCCUACUUGCUUCAUCUAUGGUAGAAGCUGGAGCAGGAACUGGGUGAACAGUAUACCCACCCCUAGCCGGCAACCUGGCCCACGCAGGAGCAUCCGUAGAUUUAACUAUUUUCUCACUUCAUCUGGCAGGUGUCUCUUCAAUCUUAGGCGCUAUUAAUUUUAUUACCACUAUUAUUAAUAUAAAACCCCCUGCCAUGUCUCAAUACCAAACACCCCUAUUUGUUUGGUCAGUUCUAAUUACUGCUGUUCUGCUACUUCUAUCACUCCCAGUUUUAGCAGCAGGAAUUACCAUGCUACUAACAGAUCGAAAUCUAAAUACCACAUUCUUUGAUCCUGCUGGAGGAGGAGAUCCUAUCUUGUAUCAACACUUAUUCUGAUUCUUUGGUCACCCAGAAGUUUAUAUUUUAAUUCUACCUGGUUUUGGAAUAAUCUCACAUAUUGUUACCUACUACUCAGGUAAAAAAGAACCCUUUGGCUACAUGGGAAUAGUUUGAGCCAUAAUAUCAAUUGGCUUUCUGGGCUUUAUUGUAUGAGCCCAUCACAUGUUUACUGUAGGAAUGGACGUGGACACACGAGCAUACUUUACAUCAGCCACUAUAAUCAUCGCCAUUCCUACUGGGGUAAAAGUAUUUAGCUGACUGGCUACUCUUCACGGAGGUAAUAUCAAAUGGUCCCCCGCUAUGUUAUGAGCCUUAGGCUUUAUUUUCCUAUUUACCGUAGGGGGCUUAACGGGAAUUGUACUAGCAAACUCCUCAUUAGAUAUCGUUCUUCACGAUACAUAUUACGUAGUAGCUCACUUCCACUAUGUCUUGUCAAUAGGAGCAGUAUUCGUUAUCAUAGGAGGCUUUGUUCAUUGAUUUCCCUUAUUCUCAGGAUAUACUCUCGACAAUACUUGGGCAAAAAUUCAUUUCACAAUUAUGUUCGUGGGUGUCAACAUAACAUUCUUCCCUCAACACUUUCUAGGCCUAUCUGGAAUGCCACGACGUUACUCUGACUACCCAGAUGCAUAUACAACUUGAAAUACGAUCUCCUCAAUGGGUUCUUUUAUCUCACUAACAGCAGUUAUGUUAAUAGUCUUCAUAGUGUGAGAAGCUUUCGCGUCUAAACGAGAAGUGGCCAUAGUAGAGUUAACCACAACUAAUCUUGAGUGAUUACACGGAUGUCCCCCUCCAUACCACACAUUUGAAGAACCAACUUAUGUAUUAUUAAAAUAAGAAAGGAAGGAAUCGAACCCUCUUAAACUGGUUUCAAGCCAAUACCAUAACCACUAUGUCUUUCUCAAUCAAGAAGUAUUAGUAAAACAAUUACAUAACUUUGUCGAAGUUAAAUUAUAGGCUUGAAUCCUAUAUACUUCUAUGGCAUAUCCCUUCCAACUAGGUUUUCAAGAUGCUACAUCUCCUAUUAUAGAGGAACUCUUACAUUUCCACGAUCACACAUUAAUAAUUGUAUUCCUAAUUAGCUCCUUAGUCCUUUACAUUAUCUCAUUGAUAUUAACAACCAAGCUCACGCACACAAGCACAAUAGAUGCCCAAGAAGUAGAAACCAUCUGAACUAUCUUACCUGCCAUUAUCCUUAUUCUUAUUGCCCUGCCUUCCUUACGAAUUCUUUAUAUAAUAGACGAAAUCAACAACCCCUCCCUCACAGUAAAAACCAUAGGACACCAAUGGUACUGAAGCUACGAGUACACCGAUUAUGAGGACUUGAACUUUGACUCUUACAUAAUCCCCACUCAAGAACUAAAACCAGGAGAACUCCGGUUACUAGAAGUCGACAAUCGAGUGGUUCUGCCAAUAGAAAUAACUAUUCGCAUGCUAAUUUCAUCAGAAGACGUACUACACUCAUGAGCCAUCCCAUCCCUAGGUCUAAAAACUGAUGCCAUCCCAGGCCGACUAAAUCAAACAACCCUGAUAGGAACACGACCUGGCUUAUAUUACGGUCAAUGCUCAGAGAUCUGCGGCUCAAAUCAUAGCUUCAUGCCCAUUGUUCUUGAAUUAGUCCCACUGACAUACUUUGAAAAAUGAUCUGCAUCUAUACUUUAAAUUCAUUAAGAAGCUAAGUCAAGCGUUAACCUUUUAAGUUAAAGACUGGGAGUUUAAAUCUCUCCUUAAUGACAUGCCACAGCUAGAUACAUCAACCUGAUUUACUACUAUUAUAUCAAUAAUUAUAACACUAUUUAUUGUAUUCCAACUAAAGAUCUCAAAGUACUUAUAUCCAUCAAAUCCAGAACUUAAGUCCACAACUACACUAAAACAGCUCAACCCCUGAGAAAAAAAAUGAACGAAAAUCUAUUCGCCUCUUUCACUAUCCCAACAAUAAUAGGACUACCUAUUAUUAUCUUAAUUAUUAUAUUCCCAAGUAUUCUAUUUCCUUCACCCAAUCGACUAAUUAAUAAUCGCCUAGUCUCACUGCAACAAUGAUUGGUACAACUAAUAUCAAAACAAAUACUGGCCAUCCAUAAUCACAAAGGACAAACCUGAGCCCUAAUACUAAUAUCCCUUAUUUUAUUUAUUGGGUCAACAAAUUUACUAGGCUUACUACCCCACUCGUUCACUCCAACUACCCAAUUGUCAAUAAACUUAGGAAUAGCCAUCCCACUAUGGGCUGGCGCUGUAAUUACUGGGUUUCGCCACAAAACUAAAGCAUCUCUGGCCCAUUUCUUACCACAAGGAACACCUAUUCCCCUAAUCCCUAUGCUUGUAGUCAUCGAGACUAUUAGUCUCUUCAUCCAACCCAUAGCCUUGGCCGUACGACUUACAGCCAACAUCACCGCAGGCCACUUACUAAUACAUUUAAUUGGAGGAGCCGCUCUGGCCCUAGCAAACAUCAGCACCUCCAUUGCUUUAAUUACUUUUAUUAUCCUUAUCCUACUGACGAUCCUUGAAUUUGCCGUAGCUCUAAUCCAAGCCUAUGUCUUUACCCUACUAGUAAGCCUCUAUCUACAUGAUAACACUUAA